AUUUAGUAGUCCAGGCACUGAUCAGGUAAUCAAAUGCAAAUUGCUAAAUACUGAUUCACAAGCAGGGGAGCUGAUUGAGACACAGUGCAAUGAGGUUAUUGGCAGCUACCAUAUGGAGGAGGAGGGUCUAAAAAAAGCCUGGCCGGCACCCUCAGACUCCUCAGAGAAUGAGCGCAAAAUCACACAGUUCAACGAUGUCUGGCAUCUGGAGAAAGAUUUAGGUUUGUCCAAGAAGUUGGAUAAAAUUGGACUGUCUGUCAGCAUAAAGAACCACGUUUACUGCCACAUCAUCUAAAUCCAGCACAGAGAAAGUAGCAAUAUAUAAUAUACAAUUAUUGUUCAUAUUAUUCUUCAUCACACCUUCUGAACUUUGAACUAA